AGGAGGAUCCCAUCCAAGAGCAACUGGGGAGUUUUGAAAGACAGAGGCUUAUUAUCGACCAAGAUGCUCUUUCACGGCUAAAGUUGCUCAACAAGUCUCUGCCUCAGUCCAAAUGUGUGGACAAGUGUCACCCUGGAUUUGUAAAACGGGCUCGGAAAGAAGAACCAAUUUGCUGCUAUGAUUGUAUUCCUUGUCCGGAGGGGACCAUCUCCACACAGGAAGAUACUGAAAAAUGCACCAAGUGCCCAGAUGAUAAAUAUCCCACGGAUGACAGAAUCCAAUGUAUCCCCAAAAGAAUAACCUUCCUGUCCUAUGAAGAACAUCUGGGCAUCAUCCUGGUCUCCUUUGCUGUACUCUUGUUUCUAACAACAGGCCUUGUUUUAGUCAUAUUCCUUAAAUACCUAGAAACUCCCAUUGUCAAAGCUAACAACCGUGACCUGUCCUACAUCCUCCUGGUUUCCCUCUUGCUUUGCUUCUUGUCCUCCUUUUUCUUCAUUGGCCGACCAAGGAAAGCCACCUGCCUUCUCCGACAAACAAUG